UACGUAGGUGGCGAGCGUUGUCCGGAAUUACUGGGCGUAAAGGGCGCGUAGGCGGCCAUCUAAGUCAGACGUGAAAUCCCCCGGCUUAACCUGGGAACUGCGUCUGAUACUGGACGGCUUGAGUAUGGGAGAGGGAUGUAGAAUUCCAGGUGUAGCGGUGAAAUGCGUAGAUAUCUGGAGGAAUACCGGUGGCGAAGGCGGCAUCCUGGACCAUUACUGACGCUGAGGCGCGAAAGCUAGGGGAGCAAACGGG
rnacentral:rRNA from 1 species